GACGAACGCUGGCGGCGUGCUUAACACAUGCAAGUCGAGCGGUAAGGCCCUUUCGGGGUACACGAGCGGCGAACGGGUGAGUAACACGUGGGUGACCUGCCCUCAGCUCUGGGAUAAGCCCGGGAAACUGGGUCUAAUACUGGAUAUGACUCCACGGUGCAUGCCGUGGGGUGGAAAGCCUUGUGCGGCUGAGGAUGGGCCCGCGGCCUAUCAGCUUGUUGGUGGGGUGAUGGCCUACCAAGGCGACGACGGGUAGCCGGCCUGAGAGGGCGACCGGCCACACUGGGACUGAGACACGGCCCAGACUCCUACGGGAGGCAGCAGUGGGGAAUCUUGCGCAAUGGGCGAAAGCCUGACGCAGCGACGCCGCGUGAGGGAUGACGGCCU
rnacentral:rRNA from 1 species